UAAUUAAAAGAUAAUGAAUACAGGUUUUGCUGUUAAAAAUAGUACAUCCAUCUCUAUGCCCUAUAUUUUUUACUCAUCUGAAAAUCACUUACCCCAAUUUCAUUCCCUAUCUUCAACAUUCCUUCCACCAUCGGUCCUGCUGAAACAUAUUCCGCGGAAAAAAUAGGCAAUCUAUUUCUCUCUCCCCCUCGAAGUCCAUGUUCCUAUACUAUGAGAAAUACAAAAGAUACUUAUUAAAAUACAAACAUAGACGAUAGAAGAAUUUGAUUAAGCCAUAAGGAAAUAGUUUCCUUACCACUUACCAUUUGAAUAGAAGAAAGGAAAGAUAUAAUUUAGUAAGGAAAAAAGAAAAGGGAAAAAUACAAUUUAUAAGGGAGUCCUAUACUAUGAAAAAUAAAAAUAAAAAGAUCACUUAUUAAGUACGAAUGAAGUCAACAAAGGAAUUUGAUGAAGCCAUAUUUCUAUCAAAUACAUGUAAACUAAAUAUAUAAACAAAGAAACAUUUCAUCCAUGAGAAAUGAAGUCGCUUACGAGUUCUUAU
rnacentral:lncRNA from 1 species